CACCACUGGACAGGUUUCUGAGAAAAGGAUCCGGUCUGUUGCUCGUAACAUCUACUACAGUCUGCAAAGUAAGAUUACGGAGUUUCUCAGAAAAGAUCUUCAAAGAUCAGACACAACACUUGGUUCAAUCCAAAUCUUUACAUAUCAAAGCAGUCCUGCAUCACAAAGAGCAAGUCUCGGCCAUCUUGAGGUCAACCAGAGCAGUGUUACACCUGGUGGAAACGAUGCCUGUGUGGACAUUCCGCACAAAUUACUAUCUAAAACCACUGAGCUCUCAGGAUCCAUGCUGGAGGAUAUUGACACGAUCCGUUGUAGGAGUGCUGACAGCCAAAAUACAAGAAAUACCUCUUCUUCACGCUCCUCCAUCUCUGUAACACCUACUUCAAAAUUAAGGCAGUCGAAAUGGCACUUUGCCUUACCCGGGACUCCCAUCCCCACUGAGUUUCCUGCUCAGAUUGACUUUCCCAUUGUUAGAAACACAAUCAUUGAGGACUUCUUUCACACAGAGGACUUACUUCCUGUAACCUUUGUGGACAAAGUCAGGCAAGCUGCUGGGGUGGUAGUGGACAUUAUGGUGGAAAGUGUUGAGAACACACAGGAAGAUGGACAGGGUGCUUCUCAUCUUGACGACCUCCGAUCUGCUGUUAGGAAAUUGAGAAAAUCAUUUCCACUUGGACCAUCCACAUUUUCAGUCAUGAAUUGGUGGAUAAAGUGAUAGCCCUUCAGGACAGCCACAGCACUCCACAGGUCUUAACAUUGGAAGCAGCCAAAAGUGCUUCAGACUCUAUUCUUUCAAGGCUGAAAUGGGGAAAGGAACAAUGUGCCAUAUCCAAGGAGCUCUCCUCUCAGCUUCUCCAGAUAUUUGCUGAAGAGACAGUGAAGGGCUUCCUGAGACAGUGGUCAGAUGAGUAUGAAAACAUAAACUUUGAUGUUUCAGUCCAGAACGAUCCAAAGACUUCUACUUGCAUGGUCAUUCUUCAAAUGAUCACCAAAGCCACUGCUAAAUGUUAUUUUGAGUCCGCUACCAGUGUGGCCACCAGUGACAUUGUAGAAGGCGUGUUUGAUUUGGAAAGGGAUACCAUCAGCAGUACUGAGAGCAGGUCCUCACCUUUAACACAAAGGUAUAGUCCACAUACAUCUUUCAUGAAUAACACUGCUGUUGACCUUUUGUGAGAUAUAUGAUUAUUUGUGUCAUGGCAUUGCACUGCUUCUUUGCAAUUGAUAUGCUGUACUUUAAGAUAUCUAAAAAAAAUUCAGUUUGUUUUAAUGUGCCUUUUCCCACCAACCAGGGUUCCAAGAAAGUUAGUAAGAACCUCUGUCCUCAAGAGUCUCUGGAGUACCAGCCUCAGAACAUUUCCCCUACUGUGUACUUUACAGAGACGAUGACAACAUCUCAUGGCUCCUUUUCUCCAGAGGGAAUUUAUGAUAUCGCAUCGUCCUUCCCACUUGAAGAGAAGAGUCGCAAA